GACGAACGCUGGCGGCGUGCCUAAUACACGCAAGUAGAACGCUGAAGAGAGGAGCUUGCUCUUCUUGGAUGAGUUGCGAACGGGUGAGUAACGCGUAGGUAACCUGCCUUGUAGCGGGGGAUAACUAUUGGAAACGAUAGCUAAUACCGCAUAACAAUGGAUGACACAUGUCAUUUAUUUGAAAGGGGCAAUUGCUCCACUACAAGAUGGACCUGCGUUGUAUUAGCUAGUAGGUGAGGUAACGGCUCACCUAGGCGACGAUACAUAGCCGACCUGAGAGGGUGAUCGGCCACACUGGGACUGAGACACGGCCCAGACUCCUACGGGAGGCAGCAGUAGGGAAUCUUCGGCAAUGGGGGCAACCCUGACCGAGCAACGCCGCGUGAGUGAAGAAGGUUUUCGGAUCGUAAAGCUCUGUUGUAAGUCAAGAACGAGUGUGAGAGUGGAAAAUUCACACUGUGACGGUAGCUUACCAGAAAGGGACGGCUAACUACGUGCCAGCAGCCGCGGUAAUACGUAGGUCCCGAGCGUUGUCCGGAUUUAUUGGGCGUAAAGCGAGCGCAGGCGGUUUGAUAAGUCUGAAGUUAAAGGCUGUGGCUCAACCAUAGUUCGCUUUGGAAACUGUCAAACUUGAGUGCAGAAGGGGAGAGUGGAAUUCCAUGUGUAGCGGUGAAAUGCGUAGAUAUAUGGAGGAACACCGGUGGCGAAAGCGGCUCUCUGGUCUGUAACUGACGCUGAGGCUCGAAAGCGUGGGGAGCGAACAGGAUUAGAUACCCUGGUAGUCCACGCCGUAAACGAUGAGUGCUAGGUGUUGGAUCCUUUCCGGGAUUCAGUGCCGCAGCUAACGCAUUAAGCACUCCGCCUGGGGAGUACGACCGCAAGGUUGAAACUCAAAGGAAUUGACGGGGGCCCGCACAAGCGGUGGAGCAUGUGGUUUAAUUCGAAGCAACGCGAAGAACCUUACCAGGUCUUGACAUCCCGAUGCUAUUUCUAGAGAUAGAAAGUUACUUCGGUACAUCGGUGACAGGUGGUGCAUGGUUGUCGUCAGCUCGUGUCGUGAGAUGUUGGGUUAAGUCCCGCAACGAGCGCAACCCCUAUUGUUAGUUGCCAUCAUUCAGUUGGGCACUCUAGCGAGACUGCCGGUAAUAAACCGGAGGAAGGUGGGGAUGACGUCAAAUCAUCAUGCCCCUUAUGACCUGGGCUACACACGUGCUACAAUGGUUGGUACAACGAGUUGCGAGUCGGUGACGGCAAGCUAAUCUCUUAAAGCCAAUCUCAGUUCGGAUUGUAGGCUGCAACUCGCCUACAUGAAGUCGGAAUCGCUAGUAAUCGCGGAUCAGCACGCCGCGGUGAAUACGUUCCCGGGCCU
rnacentral:rRNA from 1 species